CGAACGCUGGCGGCGUGCUUAACACAUGCAAGUCGAACGGAAAGGCCCUGCUUUUGUGGGGUGCUCGAGUGGCGAACGGGUGAGUAACACGUGAGUAACCUGCCCUUGACUUUGGGAUAACUUCAGGAAACUGGGGCUAAUACCGGAUAGGAGCUCCUGCUGCAUGGUGGGGGUUGGAAAGUUUCGGCGGUUGGGGAUGGACUCGCGGCUUAUCAGCUUGUUGGUGGGGUAGUGGCUUACCAAGGCUUUGACGGGUAGCCGGCCUGAGAGGGAGACCGGCCACAUUGGGACUGAGAUACGGCCCAGACUCCUACGGGAGGCAGCAGUGGGGAAUAUUGCACAAUGGGCGGAAGCCUGAUGCAGCAACGCCGCGUGCGGGAUGACGGCCUUCGGGUUGUAAACCGCUUUCGCCUGUGACGAAGCGUGAGUGACGGUAAUGGGUAAAGAAGCACCGGCUAACUACGUG
rnacentral:rRNA from 1 species